CGGGGCGUAGCGCAGCACGGUAGCGCGCUCGGUUCGGGACCGAGAGGUCGGAUGUUCAAAUCAUCUCGCCCCGACCA
rnacentral:tRNA from 1 species